ACGAACGCUGGCGGCGUGCUUCACCCAUGCCGGUCGAACGGAAAGGCCCUGCUUUUGUGGGGUGCUCGAGUGGCGAACGGGUGAGUAACACGUGAGUAACCUGCCCUUGACUUUGGGAUAACUUCAGGAAACUGGGGCUAAUACCGGAUAGGAGCUCCUGCUGCAUGGUGGGGGUUGGAAAGUUUCGGCGGUUGGGGAUGGACUCGCGGCUUAUCAGCUUGUUGGUGGGGUAGUGGCUUACCAAGGCUUUGACGGGUAGCCGGCCUGAGAGGGUGACCGGCCACAUUGGGACUGAGAUACGGCCCAGACUCCUACGGGAGGCAGCAGUGGGGAAUAUUGCACAAUGGGCGGAAGCCUGAUGCAGCAACGCCGCGUGCGGGAUGACGGCCUUCGGGUUGUAAACCGCUUUCGCCUGUGACGAAGCGUGAGUGACGGUAAUGGGUAAAGAAGCACCGGCUAACUACGUG
rnacentral:rRNA from 1 species